GGGCUCGCAGGCGGUUUCUUAAGUCUGAUGUGAAAGCCCCCGGCUCAACCGGGGAGGGUCAUUGGAAACUGGGAAACUUGAGUGCAGAAGAGGAGAGUGGAAUUCCACGUGUAGCGGUGAAAUGCGUAGAGAUGUGGAGGAACACCAGUGGCGAAGGCGACUCUCUGGUCUGUAUCUGACUCUGAGGCGCGAAAGCGUGGGGAGCGAACAAAAUU
rnacentral:rRNA from 1 species